rnacentral:lncRNA from 1 species
AGACUGUAUUUCUAAUUUAGGUGGUUACAGAUGAGGUACCACAAGAUGGAUGAGCUGAUCUAACAGCCUGCUGAUACUUCCUGGCCAUGUGUUUCUGCUGCUCCUCUUGCUCCAGCUUGGGUGCUUGUGCUAAAACGGCAGGAAGCUAGCCCGGCAAAGCAGACGGAGCAGAGGUGCCCUGAGCCUUCUGGCUGAGGUCUUAGAUGUCCCUGCUGGAAGAGGGAAGUUUGAAAGUUACCAUCUUCCUAACAAAUUUUUGAACUACUGCUGCUGGCAGGACAAGACAGAAUAGGCCCCUGCUCCAAGAUGACCAGUACUAACUCUGGAAAGGAUCCUGGUCAGGAGUUGAAAAUAAGGAAAAGAGAGGAAGAAAACCACAAAGGAAGAGGCAUAUGAAAAGUAAAAAAUACGGAGCUGGGAGCGAACCUAAACACUCAAAGAGCUGUUGUGAAAUCUCUCCUUGAACUGGCGGCGCAGGCUUCCCUUUUAGCUAAAACAAGAUUGCCCACGUGAACCAGACAAGGU